rnacentral:rRNA from 1 species
UACGUAGGGUGCAGGCGUUAAUCGGAAUUACUGGGCGUAAAGCGUGCGCAGGCGGUUUCUUCAGUCCGAUGUGAAAGCCCCGGGCUUAACCUGGGAACUGCGUUUGAAACUGGGAGACUUGAGUGUGGCAGAGGGGGGUGGAAUUCCACGUGUAGCAGUGAAAUGCGUAGAUAUGUGGAGGAACACCGAUGGCGAAGGCAGCCCCCUGGGUUAACACUGACGCUCAUGCACGAAAGCGUGGGGAGCAAACAGG